UACGAAGGGGGCUAGCGUUGCUCGGAAUUACUGGGCGUAAAGGGCGCGUAGGCGGCACUGUUAGUCAGGCGUGAAAGUCCUGGGCUCAACCUGGGAACUGCGCUUGAUACGGCAGAGCUAGAGGAUGGAAGAGGGUCGCGGAAUUCCCAGUGUAGAGGUGAAAUUCGUAGAUAUUGGGAAGAACACCAAUGGCGAAAGCAGCUCUCUGGGACGGUACUGACGCUGAGACGCGAAAGCGUGGGAGCGAACAGG
rnacentral:rRNA from 1 species